rnacentral:rRNA from 1 species
UGAGGAAUAUUGGUCAAUGGGCGCAAGCCUGAACCAGCCAUCCCGCGUGCAGGAAGACGGCGCUAUGCGUUGUAAACUGCUUUUCCAGGGAGAGAAACUUGCGCACGUGUUGCGCAAUUGACGGUACCCUGGGAAUAAGCAUCGGCUAACUCCGCGCCAGCAGCCGCGGUAAUACGGAGGAUGCGAGCGUUAUCCGGAUUCAUUGGGUUUAAAGGGUGCGUAGGCGGACUAUUAAGUCAGUGGUGAAAUCCUGCAGCUUAACUGCAGAACUGCCAUUGAUACUGAUAGCCUUGAGUUUGGUGAAGGUAGGCGGAAUGUGUAAUGUAGCGGUGAAAUGCUUAGAUAUUACACAGAACACCAAUUGCGUAGGCAGCUUACUGAGCCGACACUGACGCUGAGGCACGAAAGCGUGGGG